GAAAGAUACACUGGAAGAUUCUGUGAGCACUUGGUAAUGCCAGAAAUCAGCGUCCCCCUCAUUCUGGGAAUUCUUGUUGUGGUAUUGCUUGUUACUGUUGGAGCAUUCUUCUUGAGGAGAAGAAUUGGAAAAAGGAAAGCUCAUGCUAACUUGCAAUUGACUGCAACGGGACACAGGAACCAGAUCGCAAUGAAUGAAGCUUCUGUAGUGGUACCAGAGGAACCACAAGUAUCAAGCUGAAGCUUCAGAGUACUUCUUAGCCAACAUAUGUUGAAAUUGGCAUUUUAAUGAAGUAAAUAUUUGC